CCUACGGGAGACAGCAGUGAGGAAUAUUGGUCAAUGGACGAGAGUCUGAACCAGCCAAGUAGCGUGAAGGAUGACUGCCCUAUGGGUUGUAAACUUCUUUUAUAUGGGAAUAAAAUGUUACACGUGUGGGAUUUUGUAUGUACCAUAUGAAUAAGGAUCGGCUAACUCCGUGCCAGCAGCCGCGGUAAUACGGAGGAUCCGAGCGUUAUCCGGAUUUAUUGGGUUUAAAGGGAGCGUAGGUGGAUUGUUAAGUCAGUUGUGAAAGUUUGCGGCUCAACCGUAAAAUUGCAGUUGAAACUGGCAGUCUUGAGUACAGUAGAGGUGGGCGGAAUUCGUGGUGUAGCGGUGAAAUGCUUAGAUAUCACGAAGAACUCCGAUUGCGAAGGCAGUUCACUGGACUGCAACUGACACUGAGGCUCGAAAGUGUGGGUAUCAAACAGGAUUAGAUACCCUUGUAGUC
rnacentral:rRNA from 1 species